UUGGGUCUAAACAUCCGUAGCUUGCUUGAUAAGUUUUUUGUGAAAUCCUAUAUCUCAAAUAUGGGGCCGCAAGAAGUACUGCUCAGCUAGAGACUGGAAGACGUAAGAAGUACGUUCGGAGUAGCGGUAAAAUGUGUUAAUCCUGGACGGACUCACGAGAGCGAAGGCAUCUUACGAGGACAGUUCUGACAGUAAGGGAUGAAAGCUAGGGGCGCAAAACGGAUUAGAUACCCGUGUAGUCCUAGCAGUAAACACUGCACACUAAACAUUAGUACCCUCGAGGUAUUGGUGCUGAAGGGAAGCCGAAGAGUGUGCUACCUGGGAAGUAUAGUCGCAAGGCCGAAACUUAAAGGAAUUGGCGGGGGAGCA
rnacentral:rRNA from 1 species